GAUGAACGCUGGCGGCGUGCCUAAUACAUGCAAGUCGAACGGGAUAAGUAGCAAUACGAAUCUAGUGGCGAACGGGUGAGUAACGCGUUGGUGACCUGCCCCGAAGCGUGGGAUAACAGUUCGAAAGGAUUGCUAAUACCACAUGUGGUUAUCUGAGUUAGAGAAGGAUAACUAAAGGAGAAAUUCACUUCGGGAGGGGCCUGCGUCCCAUCAGCUAGUUGGUGAGGUAAAAGCCCACCAAGGCGAUGACGGGUAGGGGACCUGAGAGGGUGGCCCCCCACAAUGGAACUGAAACACGGUCCAUACACCUACGGGUGGCAGCAGUAGGGAAUAUUGCUUAAUGGGCGAAAGCCUGAAGCAGCAACGCCGCGUGUGCGAUGAAGGUCUUCGGAUCGUAAAGCACUUUUUGGAGGGAUGAGGAAGGACAGUACCUCCAGAAUAAGCCUCGGCUAACUACGUGCCAGCAGCCGCGGUAAAAC
rnacentral:rRNA from 1 species